GAUGAACGCUGGCGGCGUGCCUAAUACAUGCAAGUCGAGCGAACAGACGAGGAGCUUGCUCCUCUGACGUUAGCGGCGGACGGGUGAGUAACACGUGGAUAACCUACCUAUAAGACUGGGAUAACUUCGGGAAACCGGAGCUAAUACCGGAUAAUAUAUUGAACCGCAUGGUUCAAUAGUGAAAGACGGUUUUGCUGUCACUUAUAGAUGGAUCCGCGCCGCAUUAGCUAGUUGGUAAGGUAACGGCUUACCAAGGCGACGAUGCGUAGCCGACCUGAGAGGGUGAUCGGCCACACUGGAACUGAGACACGGUCCAGACUCCUACGGGAGGCAGCAGUAGGGAAUCUUCCGCAAUGGGCGAAAGCCUGACGGAGCAACGCCGCGUGAGUGAUGAAGGUCUUCGGAUCGUAAAACUCUGUUAUUAGGGAAGAACAAAUGUGUAAGUAACUAUGCACGUCUUGACGGUACCUAAUCAGAAAGCCACGGCUACCUACG
rnacentral:rRNA from 1 species